CUUGAAAAUUUGUCUCGCUUUUAUUAUAUUAGAAGAGCUGAGCAAUCAGCUACGGCACUAGAGGCUGUAUGAAAUAGGUAUUUUGGACCCGGGGGCAGUACCCGGCACCUCCACCAAUUAGUAAGGUGGAAAGUUUGGAGAAUGAGAGAUAUAAAGUGAUUUCUGGCUGCAAAGAAAAUUUUAGCGUACAUAGGUAGUACAUGAAUUUUCUGAGACGGCGUAAAAUCGCUUUAGAUAUUCAUUAUACAGACUUUUAUUUCUAGGGGGGUGAAACAGGAUAGACAGGAUACAGUAAAGAUAUGUAAGCUGUGCUCGGUGAGAUACCACCGUUAUCGGUUCAAAUUUAAAUGAGUGCUAACGAUAAUAACGUAGCUCCAGUUGCAAUGGCUGCUUAAUUGUAGUCGCAACAAAUUAAAUCCUUUUAACUUUGGAUAGUUAAAAGUGGGGUCUGGGCCACCUCGCAACAGAACGGCC
rnacentral:tmRNA from 1 species